rnacentral:rRNA from 1 species
GACGAACGCUGGCGGCGUGCUUAACACAUGCAAGUCGAACGGAAAGGCCCUGCUUUUGUGGGGUGCUCGAGUGGCGAACGGGUGAGUAACACGUGAGCAGCCUGCCCUUGACUUUGGGAUAACUUCAGGAAACUGGGGCUAAUACCGGAUAGGAGCUCCUGCUGCAUGGUGGGGGUUGGAAAGUUUCGGCGGUUGGGGAUGGACUCGCGGCUUAUCAGCUUGUUGGUGGGGUAGUGGCUUACCAAGGCUUUGACGGGUAGCCGGCCUGAGAGGGUGACCGGCCACAUUGGGACUGAGAUACGGCCCAGACUCCUACGGGAGGCAGCAGUGGGGAAUAUUGCACAAUGGGCGGAAGCCUGAUGCAGCAACGCCGCGUGCGGGAUGACGGCCUUCGGGUUGUAAACCGCUUUCGCCUGUGACGAAGCGUGAGUGACGGUAAUGGGUAAAGAAGCACCGGCUAACUACGUG